CAGUGAUGCACUGCAUUCCACUGUCUGAUUUUAAAACCUCUGUAGGGAAGUUGCUGUAAGAAACUGAAAUGCAAUUUCCUUGCAAUAAAAUUCUUUCUUAGUCAUGACCCAGCCCUAAAGGGUUAUGGGCUCCGGCAAGCAGUUAGUUACUCACUCUCUCCUUUCUGGUCUAAAUUGGGUUGGAAUAUAUAUCAAAGGAAGCCAGAAAGUGGUUGGGGAGAUUAAAAAAAACAACAACAACAACGUUUAGACUGAAUGUCUUGACGGUCCAUCCAUUCACUUCUGCUUUGAAAAUGGCAUUGUUAUGAGAAAAGUCAUUUUAUUUUCAUUCUUAAAAGGACUUCAUGCAUGAGAUUGCCACUUCACAGAGUAUUUAUCAAACAUGGACAAGCUUAUUUUUAAUCACUGUGUUGAAAGGCAGAAAUUACUUCAUCAGAUUCGUUUUGCUGCUACCUCAAAGACCUAACUGCAGCACCUCAAAGAAAUGAGAAAUUUCAUGAGUAGAGGAAGGAAAGGAACCAGGGAGAUCAGAAAAGACCAGGAUGAAAGAAGAAAAGGAAAACAGAAGACAAAUGAUGACUUUUCUUUCCUGUGAAGCCUGGCUGUGACCCUAGAAGCAUGGCCAUAAACUACCUCAAGAAUGGACAUCUUCAACCAAGUCAAUUAGCAGCAACUGUCCAAAUAUCUGGAACAAGAACAGCAAGAACAGUAGCUGUUGCUCAGAACACAAAAGAGAAGAUAAGCCCAAAAGAUAGACUGUGUGAACUGAACAGGCUUCUUCACAGCCUUUCCCACACUUGCUGGUAUCACAGAGGUGAUGCAACCUGAGGCUCAAGCAUGAUAUCAAUGCCCAACUGAUGCUGCAUGAAGUAACACUCACUCUUCUGUGGAUACUGGAACAGAUGCUUUUGGUGCUCACAUUACAUCCCUGGACCCCCUUCUGAAUCCUGUGCAGUUGUGUGGACAGUUCCAUGUAGGCUUUUUGCUCUUCUGCCUCAGGGCUUUCAUCAAAGUCAGGGCAGCCUAGUCAGCUCAGAAAGCGAGUGUGGGGGAGCUUUGCAGUGAAAGCUAAGCUACCAGGGGCAACUCUCAACCCAUGACGGGUGGAGCUACAACAUUAUUUUAGUCUGCACAGUUAAGUCACAAAAGGUGAAGCAUAAAGACAGAAAGGCAAAUAUUAGGACAAAACACAUAAUCAUCCAAAAUUUGGAUGGUGCCAGGGAAAGGAAUGAGAAAUGGAACAAUAUGUAUUUUGUCAUUGCUUAUAGUAAGGAAUUAACAGUCUUUCAAAAGAAAUACAGGAUUAAGGACAUUGUAUAAUGUCAAUCAUACAGAACAAAUAUGAAAACCUUUUAAGUCAUAAGAAUUAAGAUAGCCACAAAGCAAAGAAAAUACAGAUCUUAUAGAAAACCAUACAAAGUAAGAAUAAAAACUGAGAUGAAGGUGGUGUAAAAUAUUACAUACUUCUAAGAUCAAACAUUAUUUUCACAUUAAUAAAUGUAUUAAUGGACAAAUUUGCCUAUUCAAAAUCCCAAAAAAAGAUUUUUUUUUUUGGAAAUUGUAAAGCUAAAUUUAAUUGUAGGCUUUAUACAACAGAUACUUAAAACAAAAAAACAAAAUAAGAAAAGUUGUAAAUUAAAUUAUGGGAAAAUGCAUGUGAGAAAAAUGCAAGCAAACAAUUAGGAAAGCAGGGGUUACAACCUUAGUAUUAGAAAAAGUAAAUAGGA
rnacentral:lncRNA from 10 species